AGCGGGUUAUUCAGCCAAGGAUGACUUGCCUACAUGAUCUGACGUACUGAUUAUUAGGAUGACAAUUAAUUAAUUGAGUGUUAUGUUGUUUUCCAUUCAGUUGAGUGUUAUGUUGUUUUCCAUUCAGUUGAGUUCGUUUGUGGGCAAGUCAUCUUUAGGCGCAGCAUCCCGCUCU
rnacentral:pre_miRNA from 1 species